CUAGAUCUCUUUCCUCUGCUUGCAUAUAUAAUUUACAAUUGCUAAGACCCAAGAGACAAAGUGCUCAUUCAUCUUCUUCAAAUCUCUUCUUCUCCUGAUGAUGGUGCAAAGCUUAUGGGUUACGAGCUAAAUCAACUGUACUAUUAAAGCUUCAUUUGGUAAUUGUACAAGUCUUUUUGUACUUUGUGGGGGUGAUAAAAAGGUUUUUUGAUUAUCUCAUCUAUUGCUAUUUAUUUUUAAGUCAAUAAAUUUAAUAAAGAAGAUUGUUUCAAAAAGUAUAACUUUGAUGCCCUGUUAUUUUGUGUGCCAAAUUGUGACAUAAGUUAUUGUUCCUGAGAAGAAUCCAUAACCUAUAUUAAUUCUUGGCUAAUAAUAUAAUGAUUCCCAAGAAGAAAUUGUCGAUCUAGCGGAGAUUGUUCUGUUCUUAGAAGUGUCAUUUGAACUUCAUCUAUCUUGAUUGUUGUCUAAUAAAUAUAAUGAAUUGGAGAGGUCUGCCUAAUAAUGUAGAUAGUAACUCUUUUGGCCAUUAUUUUUCUAAAUAAAAGCUCCAAUUCAAAAUUCUCAAUUUUACUACCAAUUUGUAUGUUAAUGUGAGUUGCAUAAUAAAUGAAUCCACGGGCAAAAAAUCGUUUCUCAUUCAUUAAAUUUCUUUUAACCUUGUGCACUCACGUGACCUUAAAACAUCCUCCUUCUUCAAAGCAAAGAUAUCGGCUCUUGCUGAAGCAGAAUAGCCCUUCAAUUUGUAGAAGCUUAGUAGCUCAGUUGGUUUUUGUUGACUACCUGAACUCCGCCUUGUUGGUGACGGUUUGAUUCUCCACAUUGUAAUCCCCUUCGCAUUUUCCCUUUCCCUAUCCCUACCACUACCUCUACCCCCAAUUUUAACCCAAAAAAAAGAAAGAAUAAUAGCCUUCAAUUCUUCUUAUUCACUUAGAAGAAUAUUUUAACUCUAUCUAUACUUAUAUUUCUUACAAUUUUCAUUUUUCAAUUUCACUGUUGAAUUUCUUUGAGUGUUGUUGUUCCAUGAUGAAAUUUCUCUACCUAUGAAGAGAAGGAAAAAAAAUAAAAUUUGGCUUGAAGAAAAUUCCUUUGUAGAUUUGAUACGAUUUCCUUGUUAUUUUUAAUGUCAUUGUUGACAGAAAGUUCCAAUCUAACUUUUCCUUUCUGCCAAUUAAGUUGAAAGCAGAGAAACAUAUACUUUACAUACAGUUUCCUUGCCAUUUUCAGCUUCUCUUAACAGUUGAUUUUUGCUCUCUUUGUAGGCGUUGUCGAUUCAACAAACACUUAAAACUUGUGAUCCUUAUGAUUGUGAACUGAGAAGUAUAUAGAAUUGGAUCCAGGUGUAUUCUGUCACAUUUUCUGAAAAACAAUAGCAAGGAACAUAACUAAAAGAUGUGGCAUAGUAUUUUUUUCUCAAAAACAGUUGUCCGCCACAAUUAUAAAUGGCCAGCUUAAGUUGUGUGGAAUAAGCACGACAUCUAUUGUACCCUAUGUUUUCAAACACAAUUGGCAUGUAGGAGAAAGUCUUACCAUGUGACCUGAAUAAAUUAUUGUCUAAUAUCUACCAGUGUUUUUCUUGACAUGUAAGAGUAGAAGUCACUUUGUUAUUUGGGACCAAGGGAUUGUUUGUCCUUCACUGAAUUAGUUGAGCUAUAAAAAAGAGUAUCUAUGAAUUUUAUUAAAUUUUAAUAAGCGGUUGGUGAGCGCCAAGAGAAUCCUCAUGUUCUAGGGGUUUGGUUUAACAGUAAAUGUUGUGCUAUGUGGAACACAAAGAUGUGCUAGCUGUAUCACAAGUUUGAAACUUGACUGCUAGACCAAAUUUUACAUUUAAGUGAAGAACAACAGUGAUAAAUCCAUUAUCUUGAAAAUAUUCUGGUCAUAAAAAAUAUUUGACGAGAGAGUCAACAAGAUCAUGUUGUUAGGAAAAUGUUCCAAGAGUCUGUGUUCUUUUGCUACUCGCUAUUCUUUUCCUGUUUCGAUGUUUCAUUUAUCUCUUCAUAUGAGUUUUAAAAACUUUUUCCUUGGAGAUUUUCAUUCUUCAGUCCUCCGAUGUCGUAUCUACAUGUUUUAUAGAGUUGCUUUUAUAUAUUCCUCACCCUGGAUUUGAAAUACCAAGUGUCAGUCACUCUUAAUUUUAUGCUGAUCUGAGAUCUCCAUGUUGAACAUCAUAUUUUUACUUGUUUUGUUCAUAGAUUUUCCAGUUGCACCACACUUUAAAAUCAUUUGAAUUUUAUCAAAUUUUAAAUUAUAUUAUAUCUAGCUUUGAAGUUUUAUGGAAGAAAAUAUUUAGGUACAGAACAUAUGGCACAGUAAAAUCAAUUUUUUUUUUAUUAAUUUUGACAAAGACCAAAUGGAGAAUUGAGAUUCUGCACUCCUCUUGUGAACCAUUGCGGAAGGCAAGGGUACUACAAAAAGAGAAUCGUUUACCUCGGAGCCAAUUUUUCAAGACCAUUCCUUGUAGUAAUUUUAUGUCAAUAUGGUUAGUGAAUUAAAUAUUGAUUAUUUUGAGGCUAUAUUGUUUACUUCAACUAUUUUUUUUUCCUUAUAUCUUUGAGUUUGUUUACCUACUUAAAUUCUUAUAUACGUUUUCUACUAAUUUUUAGUAAAGAUUAAGUUCAAAAGAAUGUAACAUAAUGAAAAAUUGUUGUAAUUUGACGUCGAACUUACUGCUUCCCUUUGUUUACUUCAACUAUUUUUUUUUCCUUAUAUCUUUGAGUUUGUUUACCUACUUAAAUUCUUAUAUACGUUUUCUACUAAUUUUUAGUAAAGAUUAAGUUCAAAAGAAUGUAACAUAAUGAAAAAUUGUUGUAAUUUGACGUCGAACUUACUGCUUCCUUUUUAGCUAUGUCUUACCUCUUGUGCCAUUGUGAUUGCAAUCACUGCCUAAUAUAAGAAGAAAGUGAUGGUAAAUAGUCAAUAUAUGGUCAUUUCAUGCAAGAAUGGAUGCAGAAGCUUAGGCAGAGUGUGUACUUUGCGUUGGAAGGGUUGCACCUAGCCGUUAAGUUGGUUAGGUUUUAUUUAAGAAGAAUAGUUUCAUGUUGCUCAGUUUAGUCCAAUAGGUUUUAAAGUUGUUUCUAUUAUUAUCAAAAUUGCCCGAUAUGUUUGAGCAUUGGAUACUUUAGGUCCAAUUGCUGGCCACUUAUGCUUCUAUUUAAGUAUUGUAUUUGUCCUUGUUGAAUUGAAGCAGAGAAUUGUUUAGCUAAAUAGAGCAUAGCUUGUUUCUUACUCUUUUUCUUUUCCUUUCUUUCUUUUCUUAGCUUCUUACUCUUCCAUUACUGUCUUAUUACUUUUCAAUGUUGUCCUUAGCUUAAUUGUAUCAUCAUUCUUGAUUGUAUGAUUUGUAUCCAUAAGUCAUUUUGAAUCGUGAAAUGAUUAUCAGUUAAGAACAAAUUUUAGAGAGGAUUUAGUUAGCAUGCUUAUGAAGUCGUAAAGUCUUAAACCUUUCCCAUCAUAAAAAAGUUAUGGUCGCUUUUUGGGAGUUUUCCGCUGAAUCAUAUGCUUCAUUUAAGGGAGAUUUGAUUUGUCUAUAUUUGAUCCUUCAAUUUCUUAUGUUUAUCUCUUAUGUCUAUUAUAAUUAUUAAAGUGUUCAUUUGAUAUAUGCAGAUGGAAGGCCUUGGAUUGUGUAGCUCUUAGAAAGAGUUGUGUCAUUCUUCAAGGAUCACAAAGGUUCGAUAUACUUAAUAAAAUCUUUUUUUUAAUUAUUUGCUAUGCUAUGUAAUUUUUAUAUCUAUUUGUCACGGUUGUUGCCUUUUUAGGGGGCUAUUGGUUUGAGUUAAAUGACAAUCAUCAUGUUAAUAAAAAAAUUCUCUCGGAAUUACUUUGAUAAAUUAUUUUAGAAGGUCAUUUUAUUCUUGAAAUACCAAUGAUUGUGAGAUGGAUUCUUUCUCCUAAAUUCUAAUGAUGUGUAUAUUGAUCAAUAACAUCAUAUGGGCACAACUUAGAUUUCUACUAUGACUGGUAUAAUUUAAAAAUUAAAGCCCUACCUUCUUUUACCAAGUAAUGUUAUUGCAAGAUUUUACGCUCUCAAAGCUGACAUACUACAUGAUCUUCUUUUUCAUUGAAGGUUUGGUGUUAGAUAUGUCAAAUAAAUAUAUCUUUAAGUUCAACAACAACCAUGAUAGUAAGUGCGAUAUUGUUGUGUCGGAAAAUGCGUAUGCGAAUGUUUAAUAUUGGUUUACAUGACAUAACAUAAAUUAAGACACAAAAAUUAACAUAUAUUGGGCCCCGUGUAACAAAAUAUUGACUCUUGAAAAAUCUACUGCUUGUUCAUUACUAAUUUUUAAAAAUAGUAUUAAAAAAUUAUUGCACUCAAAAUUCUAUUAAUGUCACAUAAAUUAGGAUAGAAGAAAUUAACAUUUUAUUAUUUAAAGUUUAUAUAAAAAGUACUACAAUUAUUGUAAUUAUUGAAUUCAAAUAUUGAAAAAUCAUAUAAAAAAUGAUUAACUUUCUAAAUUCUAUUGUGCCACAUAAAUUAAGAUAAAAGAAGAAACAUAUGUUAUUUAUAAAAAUAGAUGUUAAAAGAACAAUAGUACUAUAAGUCACAAUAAUUAACAACUUAAUUUUAAAAAAUAAUAUAUACAACAAUUAGCUGCCUCUUCAAAUUUCAUUUUGCAUCACAUUAAUUUGACCAUUAAUUCUGCUAUUUUUUCCUUUUAAUUUUGUCUUACAUUUCUUUUUUAGCCUAUUAUAUAUUUGAAAAUUACAGUAAUAAUACUUUAAAUCACAAUAAUUAAUAAGUUUAAAUAUUUAAAAUUAAUAUAAAAAAAUCAUUUGACUUCCAAAAUUCUAUGUGUGACACAUAAAAUGGGUUUAGAGGAAAUGACAUUUAUUAUUUGACAAUGACGUAAAAAGUAUAUAAAUCACAAUAAUUAAUAACUUCGAAAUUUAAAAGACAAACAAAAUUGGCUAACUUUCGAAAUUAUAUCAAUACCACAUAAAUUGGGACAUGAGAAGUAAAAAAAUUAUUUAAAAAUUACGUAAAAGGUACUACAAAUUACAAUAAUUAACAAUUUAAAAUAUUUAAAAGACAUAAAAAUGAUUAUUCUUUGAAAUUAUAUCUAUGCCACAUAAAUUGGGAGAAUGAAAUAAUAUAUAUUACUUCAAAAUCGCUUAAAAAAUUAUAAAUCACAGUAAUUAAUAACUUAGAAUAUUUUUAAAAAUCAUAUAAAAUUUUGAAUAACUUCUCAAGUUUCAACAUGUCUGCUUGUAGCCAGGGGUAGUUUAACAAUAAAAUUUUCUUUUUUAAAAAAUUGUCUUUUAUUUGUUUUUGGAAUAACACUUUUGAAGUACUACUGAUGAAGUUAUUCAGGCUAAUAGGUUUGUUGUUUUAGGUUUGAAUGAUGGAUGAUAGACACAAGUGAUAAAUGUAUUCAUUUUUCUAGGGGCAAAAUGUAGACAAACACAUUGUUUGUGCUCCUUUUAUUUGUGUGAAAUUCAAAGUUAAUUCCCACUUACAUGUAUACAAAUGGUGGUGAUGGGGUUACUGGUUCUUACCUAUGAAGUAUGCUCAUAAAGCUAUGGUUGCAAUAAAUUUUAUGGGAAGAGUUGGGCAUGUGUAAUUUUGAAGAUUGUUGCCUUAUGUUAAAAAGAAUGCCUAUGCUUUUAUGUUCUCUGUGAUUUUAGACAUUUAUUAUAGCAAACAAACAAAGAACUAAAAGUCAAGUCCUGACCGAAUGAC
rnacentral:lncRNA from 1 species